GAUGAACGCUGGCGGCGUGCCUAAUACAUGCAAGUCGAGCGAACAGAUGAGGAGCUUACUCCUCUGACGUUAGCGGCGGACGGGUGAGUAACACGUGGAUAACCUACCUAUAAGACUGGGAUAACUUCGGGAAACCGGAGCUAAUACCGGAUAAUAUAUUGAACCGCAUGGUUCAAUAGUGAAAGACGGUUUUGCUGUCACUUAUAGAUGGAUCCGCGCCGCAUUAGCUAGUUGGUAAGGUAACGGCUUACCAAGGCGACGAUGCGUAGCCGACCUGAGAGGGUGAUCGGCCACACUGGAACUGAGACACGGUCCAGACUCCUACGGGAGGCAGCAGUAGGGAAUCUUCCGCAGUGGGCGAAAGCCUGACGGAGCAACGCCGCGUGAGUGAUGAAGGUCUUCGGAUCGUAAAACUCUGUUAUUAGGGAAGAACAAAUGUGUAAGUAACUAUGCACGUCUUGACGGUACCUAAUCAGAAAGCCACGGCUAACUACGUG
rnacentral:rRNA from 1 species